UGGGCCCUGCGAGCUCCAGGUGCCUCUGCCCCGCGGCGCUGGCGAAGUCGAAGCCCGAGAACGCCCACCGCAGCGAUGCGAAGGCCGCUUCUGGGGUGGGGCUGAGGCUGCAGCUGCCUCCCUUUCGCACCAAGGACCCCAACCUUCAGCGACGCAGCCGCCGCUCCCGCCCAGGCUGGGAGGCACUGUAGGGAUCCGACGCUUCAGGUGGCCAAAGAGCGACUUUCUCUGAUUCCAGGGCCCUGGCGGGGCAGGCUCCAGUACCGCACUCGGCGGAGGCCGAAGGUCUGUGGGGCAGGACAGGAGUUCCUCGUGCCGUCGGAAGGGCCGAGGACGAAGGAGGGCGCUAAUUCACUCCCCACUGGGCUGGCGGCAACGCCGAAUCCCGCAGUGACCGCGGAGGGCCAAGGUGCAGGCUGCCCCAUGGAUGCCACACGUGGCAGCGGGGAGAAAAGAAGUGAUUCGGUCCCUGCCGAGGGUUGCUGCCACCCACGCACUGCUGGCGGACUCAGUGCCAGGCAGCCUUGAUGGCCAGGCAACGUCUAACCCAGGAGGUGGGACACAUCCUCGGAGUCACCAGUGAGAUGUGGCGAGCUGGGAGAAAAGUCGGCUUCCUGCAUUUGUCACCUUCUGCCUCCAGCCAUGGUAGUAAACCACCGCGGCCAGUCCCGACCCAUCCCGGAUCCCUCGGGUCUCACCUGCAGGUCCUCCAGACCGGGGGCCGCCGCCAGCCCCGGAAGGCCGAGAUGCGCAUCGCGUUCUCAGCUGGCGAAGUCCCUGCGGCCCCCUCCCUCCGAGAUUUCGUUAGCGCGGGACAGGAGGGUUGGAAAGUCCAGCACUCAGGCGCCCCGAUCCCCCGGCCGAAUAUGUCCCGGGCCCGAGACUACUCACCAUGGCGGAGUAGGUGUGCACCAGCAUGGGGCGGAACUGCUUCACAAGAUUAAAGGAGAAACAGAAAAUGUAUCUAGCGCUGUGCUUGGGGCAUGGCAGGAACUCAAUGAAUGCUUAUUAAAUACUGUAAAUGAUAAAC
rnacentral:lncRNA from 1 species